GGAAGUAAAAGUCGUAACUAGGUCUCCGUUGGUGAACCAGCGGAGGGAUCAUUACCGAGUUUACAACUCCCAAACCCAAUGUGAACCAUACCAAACUGUUGCCUCGGCGGGGUCACGCCCCGGGUGCGUCGCAGCCCCGGAACCAGGCGCCCGCCGGAGGAACCAACCAAACUCUUUCUGUAGUCCCCUCGCGGACGUUAUUUUUACAGCUCUGAGCAAAAAUUCAAAAUGAAUCAAAACUUUCAACAACGGAUCUCUUGGUUCUG
rnacentral:misc_RNA from 1 species